CAUAGGUUAAUGAGGCGAACCGGGGGAACUGAAACAUCUAAGUACCCCGAGGAAAAGAAAUCAACCGAGAUUCCCCCAGUAGCGGCGAGCGAACGGGGAGGAGCCCAGAGCCUGAAUCAGUGUGUGUGUUAGUGGAAGCGUCUGGAAAGGCGCGCGAUACAGGGUGACAGCCCCGUACACAAAAAUGCACAUAUUGUGAGCUCGAUGAGUAGGGCGGGACACGUGGUAUCCUGUCUGAAUAUGGGGGGACCAUCCUCCAAGGCUAAAUACUCCUGACUGACCGAUAGUGAACCAGUACCGUGAGGGAAAGGCGAAAAGAACCCCGGCGAGGGGAGUGAAAAAGAACCUGAAACCGUGUACGUACAAGCAGUGGGAGCCUCUUUAUGGGGUGACUGCGUACCUUUUGUAUAAUGGGUCAGCGACUUAUAUUCUGUAGCAAGGUUAACCGAAUAGGGGAGCCGAAGGGAAACCGAGUCUUAACUGGGCGUUAAGUUGCAGGGUAUAGACCCGAAACCCGGUGAUCUAGCCAUGGGCAGGUUGAAGGUUGGGUAACACUAACUGGAGGACCGAACCGACUAAUGUUGAAAAAUUAGCGGAUGACUUGUGGCUGGGGGUGAAAGGCCAAUCAAACCGGGAGAUAGCUGGUUCUCCCCGAAAGCUAUUUAGGUAGCGCCUCGUGAAUUCAUCUCCGGGGGUAGAGCACUGUUUCGGCAAGGGGGUCAUCCCGACUUACCAACCCGAUGCAAACUGCGAAUACCGGAGAAUGUUAUCACGGGAGACACACGGCGGGUGCUAACGUCCGUCGUGAAGAGGGAAACAACCCAGACCGCCAGCUAAGGUCCCAAAGUCAUGGUUAAGUGGGAAACGAUGUGGGAAGGCCCAGACAGCCAGGAUGUUGGCUUAGAAGCAGCCAUCAUUUAAAGAAAGCGUAAUAGCUCACUGGUCGAGUCGGCCUGCGCGGAAGAUGUAACGGGGCUAAACCAUGCACCGAAGCUGCGGCAGCGACACUAUGUGUUGUUGGGUAGGGGAGCGUUCUGUAAGCCUGUGAAGGUGGCCUGUGAGGGUUGCUGGAGGUAUCAGAAGUGCGAAUGCUGACAUAAGUAACGAUAAAGCGGGUGAAAAGCCCGCUCGCCGGAAGACCAAGGGUUCCUGUCCAACGUUAAUCGGGGCAGGGUGAGUCGACCCCUAAGGCGAGGCCGAAAGGCGUAGUCGAUGGGAAACAGGUUAAUAUUCCUGUACUUGGUGUUACUGCGAAGGGGGGACGGAGAAGGCUAUGUUGGCCGGGCGACGGUUGUCCCGGUUUAAGCGUGUAGGCUGGUUUUCCAGGCAAAUCCGGAAAACCAAGGCUGAGGCGUGAUGACGAGGCACUACGGUGCUGAAGCGACAAAUGCCCUGCUUCCAGGAAAAGCCUCUAAGCAUCAGGUAACAUCAAAUCGUACCCCAAACCGACACAGGUGGUCAGGUAGAGAAUACCAAGGCGCUUGAGAGAACUCGGGUGAAGGAACUAGGCAAAAUGGUGCCGUAACUUCGGGAGAAGGCACGCUGAUAUGUAGGUGAAGCGACUUGCUCGUGGAGCUGAAAUCAGUCGAAGAUACCAGCUGGCUGCAACUGUUUAUUAAAAACACAGCACUGUGCAAACACGAAAGUGGACGUAUACGGUGUGACGCCUGCCCGGUGCCGGAAGGUUAAUUGAUGGGGUUAGCGGUAACGCGAAGCUCUUGAUCGAAGCCCCGGUAAACGGCGGCCGUAACUAUAACGGUCCUAAGGUAGCGAAAUUCCUUGUCGGGUAAGUUCCGACCUGCACGAAUGGCGUAAUGAUGGCCAGGCUGUCUCCACCCGAGACUCAGUGAAAUUGAACUCGCUGUGAAGAUGCAGUGUACCCGCGGCAAGACGGAAAGACCCCGUGAACCUUUACUAUAGCUUGACACUGAACAUUGAGCCUUGAUGUGUAGGAUAGGUGGGAGGCUUUGAAGUGUGGACGCCAGUCUGCAUGGAGCCGACCUUGAAAUACCACCCUUUAAUGUUUGAUGUUCUAACGUUGGCCCGUAAUCCGGGUUGCGGACAGUGUCUGGUGGGUAGUUUGACUGGGGCGGUCUCCUCCUAAAGAGUAACGGAGGAGCACGAAGGUUGGCUAAUCCUGGUCGGACAUCAGGAGGUUAGUGCAAUGGCAUAAGCCAGCUUGACUGCGAGCGUGACGGCGCGAGCAGGUGCGAAAGCAGGUCAUAGUGAUCCGGUGGUUCUGAAUGGAAGGGCCAUCGCUCAACGGAUAAAAGGUACUCCGGGGAUAACAGGCUGAUACCGCCCAAGAGUUCAUAUCGACGGCGGUGUUUGGCACCUCGAUGUCGGCUCAUCACAUCCUGGGGCUGAAGUAGGUCCCAAGGGUAUGGCUGUUCGCCAUUUAAAGUGGUACGCGAGCUGGGUUUAGAACGUCGUGAGACAGUUCGGUCCCUAUCUGCCGUGGGCGCUGGAGAACUGAGGGGGGCUGCUCCUAGUACGAGAGGACCGGAGUGGACGCAUCACUGGUGUUCGGGUUGUCAUGCCAAUGGCACUGCCCGGUAGCUAAAUGCGGAAGAGAUAAGUGCUGAAAGCAUCUAAGCACGAAACUUGCCCCGAGAUGAGUUCUCCCUGAGACUUAGAGUCUCCUGAAGGAACGUUGAAGACGACGACGUUGAUAGGCCGGGUGUGUAAGCGCAGCGAUGCGUUGAGCUAACCGGUACUAAUGAACCGUGAGGCUUAACCUU
rnacentral:rRNA from 1 species